CAAGGUUUGACAUGCUGGGAAAUCCCGCAGAGAUGCGGGGUNCCUUCGGGCCCCUGGCACAGGUGGUGCAUGGCUGUCGUCAGCUCGUGUCGUGAGAUGUUGGGUUAAGUCCCGCAACGAGCGUAACCCCCAUCCUGUGUUGCCAGCACGCCCCUUGUGGGUGGUGGGGACUCAUGGGAGACUGCCGGGGUCAACCCGGAGGAAGGCGGGGAUGACGUCAAGUCAUCAUGCCCCUUAUGCCUUGGGCUGCAAACAUGCUACAAUGGUCGGUACAACGGGUCGCGAUCCCGUGAGGGUGANCCAAUNCUUAGAAAGCCGAUCUCAGUUCGGAUUGGGGUCUGCAACUCGACCCCAUGAAGUGCGGAGUCGCUAGUAAUUCGCGGAUUCAGCAUGCGCGA
rnacentral:rRNA from 1 species